AAUGUGACGUCUCCAGAUCUGAACAGCACAUCAGUUCCACACUCGCUGUCUGUCCAGUUACCUCACUUUGUCUGAUCCUGUUGAGAAAAUCAUCUCAUGUUCAUUUUUCUAAACAGGACUUACUGAUGCACUCUUCCUCCCCCUCUUUGCCGUAUCCAAGUUCAUGUGUGUAAAGUUGUGGAAUAUUCAGGCAGAUGAUCCAAGGAUAAUGGAAUUCUUUGUAGCUCUAAGGCUGUCCUUGGUGUCUACAUAGAGUCAGCACCAUAACUAUUGAGACUGUGGUCAUUUUUGUAACAUUGUGUCUGCACACCGUUGCAAUGUAGU